rnacentral:rRNA from 1 species
UAGGGAAUCUUCGGCAAUGGGGGGAACCCUGACCGAGCAACGCCGCGUGAGUGAAGAAGGUUUUCGGAUCGUAAAGCUCUGUUGUUAAGGAAGAACGAGUGUGAGAAUGGAAAGUUCAUACUGUGACGGUACUUAACCAGAAAGGGACGGCUAACUACGUGCCAGCAGCCGCGGUAAUACGUAGGUCCCGAGCGUUGUCCGGAUUUAUUGGGCGUAAAGCGAGCGCAGGCGGUUAGAUAAGUCUGAAGUUAAAGGCAGUGGCUCAACCAUUGUAGGCUUUGGAAACUGUUUAAAUUGAGUGCAGAAGGGGAGAGUGGAAUUCCAUGUGUAGCGGUGAAAUGCGUAGAUAUAUGGAGGAACACCGGUGGCGAAAGCGGCUCUCUGGUCUGUAACUGACGCUGAGGCUCGAAAGCGUGGGGAGCGAACAGG